rnacentral:rRNA from 1 species
UACAGAGGGUGCAAGCGUUAAUCGGAAUGACUGGGCGUAAAGGGCACGUAGGCGGCAAGAUGUGUUAUAGGUGAAAUCCCCGGGCUUAACCUGGGAAGGUCCUAUAAAACUGUCUUGCUAGAAUAUAGGAGAGGUAAGUGGAAUUUCCGGUGUAGCGGUGAAAUGCGUAGAUAUCGGAAAGAACACCAGUGGCGAAGGCGACUUACUGGUCUAAUAUUGACGCUGAGGUGCGAAAGCGUGGGGAGCAAACGGG